rnacentral:rRNA from 1 species
CCUACGGGAGGCAGCAGUGAGGAAUAUUGGUCAAUGGGCGGAAGCCUGAACCAGCCAAGUAGCGUGCAGGAUGACGGCCCUACGGGUUGUAAACUGCUUUUAUACGGGAAUAACGCGCCGUACGUGUAGGGCUUUGCAUGUACCGUAUGAAUAAGGACCGGCUAAUUCCGUGCCAGCAGCCGCGGUAAUACGGAAGGUCCGGGCGUUAUCCGGAGUUAUUGGGGUGAAAGGGAGCGUAGGCCGCAUGUCAAGCGUGCUGUGAAAUGUCCGGGCUCACCCCGGGCCUUGCAGCGCGAACUGGCGUGCUUGAGUCCGCGGCCAGCAGGCGGCUUUCGUCGUGUAGCGGU